GUAUCGAGACCUCGUGAAAAUUCACGAUCCUGAAGUCGUCGGUUCAAACCCCACCAAUCACGCUUGAGUGGAAAUCGGAAAUUAUAAAAGUAGCUGAACCGACUGGACUGUCUCUGUGCCUGAAAAACCUGAAGACGGCUAGGCGCAUGUGAGCCGGCACAUGACGUGACGUGGAGUAAGUACCCACUGCCCGAGGGUAGGCGAAGGUAGGCACAGGCUGGCGGUAUACGAGGCUCUAAGGGCCCGGGACGGUUCCCUUCAAAGGGGGGGAAUGUAGCAGCCGGUACACAGUACGGUGCUAUAAAUACGCACAGAGUGCGACCGCCAGCAACUCGAGAGACCUUUUCAGCGGUCAGCUGCUACAGGUUUAUGUACUUGCACUUGCAGGUGGUCCUUUUAUAGUUUGUGGAGAUCUUCUUGUGCUUUUCCAUAUGGCUUUUGGUCGAUUGGGGGCUUUGAACCCUCAAGCUCCUGGUUCUUUCUUGAGCAUCUUGUGUGGUGCUCCCUAAUCGGUCGCUGAUGUGGCAUGUUGUGUGUUAAUUGCAGUUUGUGGGAGUUUUAGCGCUAUGGAGUGCAUGCAGGUUGGCGUGUGCCCUGGUGGGAGCACAGCGUGUGCAACAGUGCAAGAGCAGUUUGUCUAUCUCCAUCUCUCCUCUGCCUGAGUAAGCAUUGGGUGAACAUUACGGGACAGACCAGAACCAUCAUUAGUCUGUGAAGCGCUUAUAAACACCCGGCUAUCGAAUGCACAGCAACAUCUUGCACCUUGACAGUAUGGUAUGGUCAGUCGAUGGGCGAGAAGAGAAGCGAGACAUGUGUCACGAGAAGGUCACUGACCAACAUGCAAAGCGCACAGGGAAUCCGCCUACACUGCUACUUGGUCGCGCGUGCCUUGGGCCGAACGGGAGGUAGGCGUGACUACUCUGCUGCUCACACAGCACACAUCGGGGUCCCAUCCUCACACAGUCCCGCACCAACCCCUGUAGACAAUACAACCCUACCGAACCACUGUAACCCUAUAUAUAUAGCGCCUUUUGAAUAUUUAAAUAUUAUCAGUCCUGGUGUCUAUGAGCUCUGUCAUCGUUACCUCCCCUCCCUUGGCACCCUACUUGCUAUAACCCACCCCUUAUACCCACACGUUCUCGUGUUGAUCUGCCGACGGACCUGCGGCCCCCAACCCGGGCUUGGUCGUCGGCGCGGCUCCUUCCUGAUGUAUGUAUGUAUGUAUGUAUGUAUGUAUGUAUGUAUGUAUGUAUGUAUGUAUGUAUGUAUGUAUGUAUGUAUGUAUGUAUGUAUGUAUGUAUGUAUGUAUGUAUGUAUGUAUGUAUGUAUGUAUGUAUGUAUGUAUGUAUGUAUGUAUGUAUGUAUGUAUGUAUGUAUGUAUGUAUGUAUGUAUGUAUGUAUGUAUGUAUGUAUGUAUGUAUGUAUGUAUGUAUGUAUGUAUGUAUGUAUGUAUGUAUGUAUGUAUGUAUGUAUGUAUGUAUGUAUGUAUGUAUGUAUGUAUGUAUGUAUGACGUUGAUUACACUGUGGGCUGAAAAGCCGGGGGCCCAGGGCCGAAGCACAGCGCGGGGGGCGGGUGCAUACGGCUGGUUAGUCUCAUGCACUCCGCCCCCGGGUCAGGCCGCACGGGAAACGACGGCCGGCACGCAACAGCGCUUGUUUGGCGCUCCAACUAGACGGGAUCUAUGCCCGUUGGUCUCCUAACAUAAACGAAGUCGCAACUGGGGGGCUCUUCCUGCCGACCGAACGAACCGAGCAUCUCAGAGAGCUCGCUACCAGGACUUGGGCGACCGGGAGCCCGACGAGUCUUCCCGGGCUGGGGAGGUCACCAAGCUCAAAAAUCCUCACGCAAAAAAGAGCGCAAAGAGCUNNNNNNNNNNNNNNNNNNNNNNNNNNNNNNNNNNNNNNNNNNNNNNNNNNGGUCAGCUGCUACAUUUGGUAUCGAGACCUCGUGAAAAUUCACGAUCCUGAAGUCGUCGGUUCAAACCCCACCAAUCACGCUUGAGUGGAAAUCGGAAAUUAUAAAAGUAGCUGAACCGACUGGACUGUCUCUGUGCCUGAAAAACCUGAAGACGGCUAGGCGCAUGUGAGCCGGCACAUGACGUGACGUGGAGUAAGUACCCACUGCCCGAGGGUAGGCGAAGGUAGGCACAGGCUGGCGGUAUACGAGGCUCUAAGGGCCCGGGACGGUUCCCUUCAAAGGGGGGGAAUGUAGCAGCCGGUACACAGUACGGUGCUAUAAAUACGCACAGAGUGCGA
rnacentral:lncRNA from 1 species